rnacentral:rRNA from 1 species
UACGUAGGGGGCAAGCGUUGUCCGGAAUCAUUGGGCGUAAAGCGCGUGUAGGCGGUCCGGUAAGUCCGCUGUGAAAGUCGGGGGCUCAACCCUCGGAUGCCGGUGGAUACUGUCGGGCUUGAGUACGGAAGAGGCGAGUGGAAUUCCUGGUGUAGCGGUGAAAUGCGCAGAUAUCAGGAGGAACACCAAUUGCGAAGGCAGCUCGCUGGGACGUUACUGACGCUGAGGCGCGAACGCGUGGGGAGCGAACAGG